rnacentral:misc_RNA from 1 species
CGCCGUGAGGAGCGCUGGGCC